CACCCGGUUACAGUAAUUUGUGUAAUGUUGGACAUACCAUGAAACAACACGACAUUGAUCUUUUAAUAUUGUUUAGUACACCACAGUUCUUUCAAUUGAAAAUUAAUUCAUAUUUGUGUGUGUUUUCUUACUGUUUAGCACAAGUGUGUUCCGCGCAAGUUUGAAUUUCUCUCAGUAAGGACUGACGGACGGCCAUUCACUCAUAAAACCUUUUAAAGCACAAGUGUUUCCCGCGCAAAUUAGAAUUUCUCUCAGUAAGGACUGACGGAUGGCCAUUCACUCAUAAAACCUUUUAAAGGUUAGCACGAAUGCAUCCAGCAUAAUUUUGGAUCUUUACCAUUGAGGAGACUGGCUGACUGUUCUCAACCAACCAUCAUUCACACGCAAAAACUUUAAAGUUAAGUAUGAACGUGUCUAGAGCAGUUUUGGAUCUUUACCAUUGAGGAGGUUGACUGACUUUCAUCUACCAACUGUCAUUAACACAACAAAAACUAAAGAAAUGUUACUACAAGUGGACCUAUUCAGUUAGUCAUUAUGCUGUGAGUACACCACAAUUUUAUCAGUGAAACAAUAAUGUUUGUUUUUUCUCAAUGCUUGGCAUAGACAAAUGUGACCCUGUGUAAUUUGGAAAUUUCAUGGGAAAUGUGUACGUCUUAAAAAUGUUUAAAUGUCGUUUGAGUUAAGGAACAGUACACUGAUUUAUUAAAA